UGAGCAUGAAAUCACUAGUCUAAAAUUUUCAAUUUCUAAAGCGGAUAAUGUUGAAGUUGUUGGGUAUGGUUAGAUUAUCAAUAUGUAGUUAUAGUGACAUGUAUUAUCCUUGCUCCUGGGUUUCCUCUAACUUAAUAAUGUUGGACAUAUCAGAUAACUUAAAUGGACAAUGGCCUUUUGUUACUAGGUCUUUCCUAAAUAUCAAGAAUAACGAAAAACUGGAGAUAUAUUUGUUGAAGAGCACAAAUUGGACACUGAUAUUAAAUUUGGGGCCAUAUAGAUAUGACAUUGAGAGCAUUUAUGUUUUACUUGAUGUUCCAAAGUUACCCCUUAGCUGACUCUCGAUAUUAGGUGCCCAAUUGUUUCUUGACCUUGUGGUAGUCGGUGUCCUUUCUACGUGGUGUUUUGACAUUUAUUUAGCAGGAUUUUGAUUCUCUGGGUUACCAUUUAUGAUUAUACCCUAAAUGUGUUUUAUUGUGGACAAGGCGGACUUUAACUUUUUUUAGCGAGAAUCUCGCCUGUGGCAACUUUAUUUUCCAUUCAUGCCUCUAUGGUUUAACUUUCCCAAAUGGCUUUUUUGUCAUUGCCCGUUUACAUCAAUUGUUGUUAACCACUAUGACUUCUUUCUUCGCCUUGAAGGCCUAUAAAACGAAGUAUAAGACUGUCGUCCUCAUUGCAAGGUCUACAUUAGUUUUCUAGUCUCUCUCUCUCUCUUCUUGAAAGUAGCUGAGUUUUCUGUCUUUGUCAGGCUCUACAAUGAAUUUUUGUUCGGGUAGUGAAGAUGCAGAGAAGCAUGUAAGUAGUAAAACAUGCUUCUAUUGCUAUAAAGAGUUAAACAACUAUAGAUCUUGGGUUUCCAUCUUAGGACUCAUCAGGAUGACCCAUCUUUGAGGGGUUCAAAGUUUCCCAGUCGUCCUAGUGAUUCUGUUGACAUAAAUAGAACCCUCAUGUUUCCCUACCGAACAGCCCACAGAACUCGGCUGGUGCGAACAACCCGAUUCCAACUUCUCAAGCUCCACCUCCAAUCGACUACAGUACAAAGUUCCGCUCGAAUGAAGCAGACCAGGCUGGCAGGAACAGACCAACUGGUGGCAAUUCCAGAGUCCCUCAAACCCAGAAUGCUGUAGCUUCAUCCAGUAACAGUUUGACUUUGAGAGCAUUUGUUCCUGCCGAUGCCAGUGCAGCCAGUUCUUCUGCUGUAUAUGUCCCAUUUGGAAGUGUUGUAACCAUUGGCCUUGCUUCAGAUUCUUGGUCAUAUAUUGGUCAAAUGGAAUUUAUCAGUUUAAUACUGAUGAAUUUCAGAUUAGCCAGGAUGGUCUGUCACCAACCUCUCGAUAUGCCUUGGAGAUAACUCAAGGUUAUAAUCUUGGCACGAAAAUGUUGGCCAAUCUGAGAGAAGCUUGUCGACUGGCGAAGGAAGCGAGAGUUCCUCUGUAUUUGGCAACCUAGUGAAUGCUGAAGAAUACCCAAGAAUUUCCCUCGAUGUUGAUGAGGAACUGGAGGAUCUGCAGCCAAGAGAGCUUCAUCUCGUCAAUUUUUUGAAUCGACAUCUGCUUCAGGAACUGGUGUUGGUGCUGAAGAGGAAGAAGGACCUGAUGAUUUAGAUCUGUCACUGCAUCUUUAGAGUCAUGUUGCCUUCACCACCCUCGACAAAGUGUGCUUCAGAAACUCGCCUUGAUGCUUUAACUUUUAAUGUUGCUGUGCACUGAUCUACAAAGUGAAUGUUCAGUUUGUUUUAAACCUUUGUUAUAAGAAGUUACUUAUUA